UACGAGGGUGCAAGCGUUACUCGGAAUCACUGGGCGUAAAGCGUGCGUAGGCGGUUCGUUAAGUCUGUUGUGAAAGCCCUGGGCUCAACCUGGGAACUGCAGUGGAUACUGGCGAGCUAGAGUACGGUAGAGGAAGGUGGAAUUCCAGGUGUAGCGGUGAAAUGCGUAGAGAUCGGGAGGAACACCAGUGGCGAAGGCGGCCUUCUGGACCAGUACUGACGCUGAGGCACGAAAGCGUGGGGAGCAAACAGG
rnacentral:rRNA from 1 species